rnacentral:sRNA from 1 species
AAUGCAGAGACACAAGUAACAGGAUAGGUUGUGUUUGGUUUAAAGGAGAAGGAAGAGGUAAAUAUAUGUAUGUUAAAAUUUGGCUUUCCCCCCCCAAUUAAGGAUGUUAAUGAUUGGGUUGGGCCACCAAAUAAUAAUGGCGUAAUUAAAGAAGUUACUAUUAAUCCAGACACUAUUUGUGGCAAUGACUGGGUCUGUGAACAUCGAUGGUGCCAAAUAAGGUGAGAAUAUGUAUUUAGACAUGUCCUCUAAUAGUAAACUUUCCUUAGCAUUUUAUUUAAAACAGUUGAAGUUUAAGAAUAUCAACAUUUUAUAUGUUACUGUGUUUUUAGGAACAUGGUUAUUUUCCGCAAUGUAGUGGAUGGCCAGCCUUUUACAAACUGGUAUGAUAAUGGGAGCAACCAAGUAGCCUUUGGAAGAGGAAACAGAGGAUUCAUUGUUUUCAACAAUGAUGACUGGUCAUUUUCUUUAACUUUGCAAACUGGUCUUCCUGCUGGCACAUACUGUGAUGUCAUUUCUGGAGAUAAAAUUAAUGGCAAUUGCACAGGCAUUAAAAUCUACGUUUCUGAUGAUGGCAAAGCUCAUUUUUCUAUUAGUAACUCUGCUGAAGAUCCAUUUAUUGCAAUUCAUGCUGAAUCUAAAUUAUAAAAUUCAAAAUUAAAUGCAUAUCCUCAAAACAAUA